rnacentral:rRNA from 1 species
UACGGGGGGAGCAAGCGUUGUUCGGAUUUACUGGGCGUAAAGGGCGCGUAGGCGGCCACCGCAAGUCAGUUGUGAAAUCUCUGGGCUUAACCCAGAAAGGUCAACUGAUACUGCGGGGCUAGAGUGCAGAAGGGGCAACUGGAAUUCGUCGGUGUAGCGGUGAAAUGCGUAGAUAUCGGGAAGAACACCCGUGGCGAAGGCGGCUCGCUGGGACGGUACUGACGCUGAGGCGCGAAAGCGUGGGGGAGCAAAACAGG